GACAGAGGUUGCAAACGUUGUUCGGAAUUACUGGGCAUAAAGCGCACGUAGGCGGUUCGUUAAGUCAUGUGUGAAAUCCCUCGGCUCAACCGAGGAAUUGCGCCUGAUACUGGCGGGCUAGAGAUCGAUAGGGGUGAGUGGAACUCCAGGUGGAGCGGUGAAAUGCGUAGAUAUCUGGAGGAACACCGGUGGCGAAAGCGGCUCACUGGACCACAACUGACGCUGAGGCGCGAAAGCUAGGGGAGCAAACAGG
rnacentral:rRNA from 1 species